UACGGAGGAUGCAAGCGUUAUCCGGAAUUAUUGGGCGUAAAGCGUCCGCAGGUGGUUAUCCAAGUCUGCUGUUAAAGCGCGAGGCUUAACUUCGUACAGGCAGUGGAAACUGGGUGACUGGAGUAUGGUAGGGGUAGCGGGAAUUCCCAGUGUAGCGGUGAAAUGCGUAGAUAUUGGGAAGAACACCAGCGGCGAAAGCGCGCUACUGGGCCAUUACUGACACUCAUGGACGAAAGCUAGGGGAGCGAACGGG
rnacentral:rRNA from 1 species